UUUAAUUCGAUGCAACGCGAAAAACCUUACCUACCCUUGACAUGGCAGGAAUCCUGAAGAGAUUUAGGAGUGCUCGAAAGAGAACCUGCACACAGGUGCUGCAUGGCCGUCGUCAGCUCGUGUCGUGAGAUGUUGGGUUAAGUCCCGCAACGAGCGCAACCCUUGUCAUUAGUUGCUACGAAAGGGCACUCUAAUGAGACUGCCGGUGACAAACCGGAGGAAGGUGGGGAUGACGUCAGGUCCUCAUGGCCCUUAUGGGUAGGGCUACACACGUCAUACAAUGGCCGGGACAGAGGGCUGCCAACCCGCGAGGGGGAGCCAAUCCCAGAAACCCGGUCGUAGUCCGGAUCGCAGUCUGCAACUCGACUGCGUGAAGUCGGAAUCGCUAGUAA
rnacentral:rRNA from 1 species